rnacentral:tRNA from 1 species
GGCGGCUCAGCAGUAAAGUAUCUGCCUGCAAUGCAGGAGACCCGGGUUUGAUUCCUGGGUCA